rnacentral:snRNA from 1 species
AUGCUCGCUUCCACAGCACAUAUACUAAAAUUGGAACCAUACAGAGAAGAUUAGCAUGGCCUCUGCGCGAGGAUGACAUGCAAAUUCGUGAAGCGUUCCAUAUUUUU